GUCCAUCUUCCAAGGAGCAGAUUCCUCGAUCUCAUUGGCUAAAGAGUUUUCACUCAAGGCUGCAGCGUGCACAUCUUUGUGUUCUCCCAUCAGGAAGUAGGCGGGGCUUGGCCAAGACACAUCCCCAUUCUCACAGGGGUUGGUGUCAUCUGCUAUAACAGUCUACAGCUGGUGUUGCCUCAGUUUCUGAAAGUCCUGCCUGUCUACGUUUACAGUCUGCUCAAAAGUGAAGUGCUGCUGCCUGGGCUGCAGAGCUCUGUACAUCAGCAUCUAUGACUGCGUGGCCUCAUUGUCUCCAUGGACACGCUGAGCACUGCUUCCCAGUUCUACCCACUUUUUCUGCCUCUGGUGAGAGACAGACAUCUAGAACAUUCUGUUCAUCCAAAUUAGUCACUGAAAUGAGACUUGUCUGUAAGAAUUUUGUAAUUCUCUGUUGGAUUGUUAUGCACAUGGCAGGAUUUAAAGAUUCCACAUUCUUCACUACUCUAGCAAUAAAUGCAUUUACUGUA